GAUGAACGCUGGCGGCGUGCCUAAUACAUGCAAGUCGAGCGAACAGACGAGGAGCUUGCUCCUCUGACGUUAGCGGCGGACGGGUGAGUAACACGUGGAUAACCUACCUAUAAGACUGGGAUAACUUCGGGAAACCGGAGCUAAUACCGGAUAAUAUAUUGAACCGCAUGGUUCAAUAGUGAAAGACGGUUUUGCUGUCACUUAUAGAUGGAUCCGCGCCGCAUUAGCUAGUUGGUAAGGUAACGGCUUACCAAGGCAACGAUGCGUAGCCGACCUGAGAGGGUGAUCGGCCACACUGGAACUGAGACACGGUCCAGACUCCUACGGGAGGCAGCAGUAGGGAAUCUUCCGCAAUGGGCGAAAGCCUGACGGAGCAACGCCGCGUGAGUGAUGAAAGUCUUCGGAUCGUAAAACUCUGUUAUUAGGGAAGAACAAAUGUGUAAGUAACUAUGCACGUCUUGACGGUACCGAAUCAGAAAGCCACGGCUAACUACGUG
rnacentral:rRNA from 1 species